rnacentral:lncRNA from 1 species
CGACCUUACUUGGACAGGAUCUGUUCUAUAGUAAUCGUACCUCUGUAUCCUUGAUUUCUAAGGAGACAGGAAUCCCAACCUGGUGGAUGAAUCAUGACCGUGUGAUCAGAGCGUGAUUAACAAUCUGAUGGUCCUUGUGAUCAUCAAGACCGUAGAGGAUCGUUCUCAGUCAGUCUUCUCUGUCUGGGGUGGUCACACGGUUGUCUGACAGGUUCCCUUCUUUUUUUAAUUCCUUCCAUUUUUGUUUAUUUGAUACAUUAAUACAAAAAAUAAUGAAUAAUUUUCCUUCAUUUUUAAUAAUGCUAUUUGCCGAAAAGAGUUUGAUAAUAUUACAUUUUUGCCAAUAAAAAGGAUCCAAAUGAUGACAACCUUACAAUAUAAAUUGUACAAAUCAAUAAAGUUAUUAUAACAAUUUUUUUAUUGUUCAUCGAUAAAUCUUUUAUUGCUCACUUUUUCAAAUAAAAGCCACGUUGCAAUCUCCGAGUCCAAACUAUUAAAAAAUUGAACUGAAGACCUGAGAGAUCAAAGCGACAAGUCCCUUUCUUUGUCCCACAUCGACGUUUUACGAAACACCGAAGCGCUUCAUAUGCCUAGUUGACGGCUAAAAGGCCACGACCUUACUUGGACAGGAUCUGUUCUAUAGUAAUCGUACCUCUGUAUCCUUGAUUUCUAAGGAGACGGGAAUCCCAACCUGGUGGAUGAAUCAUGACCGUGUGAUCAGAGCGUGAUUAACAUUUUGAUGGUCCUUGUGAUCAUCAAGACCGUAGAGGAUCGUUCUCAGUCAGUGGUUGUCUGACAGGUUCCCCUUUUUUUAUAUUUCCUUUCAUUUUGUUCCGGAUGCAGCAGGAUUGUGUUGGUUUAACUAAAUGUUGAUC